rnacentral:lncRNA from 1 species
AAGGUUUUUGACUAGGUGAGAGACCAGGUUCAGGUGAGUCACAAUACAACAAUUAAAGGGGUUUAUGGACCCCCAGCCCCCCAUCACUCCCUCCAGCUCCAACAGGAGAAAUAUAAACCCCUUAUGAGGGCUAACCAAUCAAACCAUAAAAUCCAAUAGCCAUACAGUUCAGCUGGAAGAAUGUUCCUUUGUUAAACAAACAAUGUGUCUGGAACACUUUUUGGUCCAUUGUUCCAUUCCAGGACAGAGACUGAAGCUAUAGAAAUAAAUUAGUGAUUUCAAUCAUGCUCAUCCUGGACUGAUCCUACUGGCACAUGGAAACUUCCUGGCUGGGGCUGAAGAAGAGAAUUAACUCUUUCAGGCAAAGUGGAAACAUGAAGUUUUAUGAGAGAGAGAAGAAACCUUUGGUGGUGCACAGGGAUUUGAAUUCAGACUCUCCACAGCACCGGACAAUUGCGCAGUGUUGAAGUCUCAUGCUGGUCUGUAAAGCCAGGCCAGAAGAGGAACUGGGAAUAAUUAGGAUGGGAGAUUACAUCCAACUUACAGAGCAAUGCAGGCCUCUGUGCUUGAAGAGUGUUCCAGCCCAAAUGUUGCCUGGCUGCUGCAGCAUUAGUCUCCAAUGUAAGCAGCUUAUGGAAGCUGUAGUAAAGAAGGGGGGACUCCCAUCUGGGACCAUGGUCCUUGAAAAAGGAAAGAGCCAAUAUGAUGUGA